UGUCGGGUAAGUUCCGACCUGCACGAAUGGCGUAAUGAUGGCCAGGCUGUCUCCACCCGAGACUCAGUGAAAUUGAACUCGCUGUGAAGAUGCAGUGUACCCGCGGCAAGACGGAAAGACCCCGUGAACCUUUACUAUAGCUUGACACUGAACAUUGAGCCUUGAUGUGUAGGAUAGGUGGGAGGCUUUGAAGCGUGGACGCCAGUCUGCGUGGAGCCGACCUUGAAAUACCACCCUUUAAUGUUUGAUGUUCUAACGUGGACCCGUUACCCGGGUUGCGGACAGUGUCUGGUGGGUAGUUUGACUGGGGCGGUCUCCUCCUAAAGAGUAACGGAGGAGCACGAAGGUUGGCUAAUCCUGGUCGGACAUCAGGAGGUUAGUGCAAUGGCAUAAGCCAGCUUGACUGCGAGCGUGACGGCGCGAGCAGGUGCGAAAGCAGGUCAUAGUGAUCCGGUGGUUCUGAAUGGAAGGGCCAUCGCUCAACGGAUAAAAGGUACUCCGGGGAUAACAGGCUGAUACCGCCCAAGAGUUCAUAUCGACGGCGGUGUUUGGCACCUCGAUGUCGGCUCAUCACAUCCUGGGGCUGAAGUAGGUCCCAAGGGUAUGGCUGUUCGCCAUUUAAAGUGGUACGCGAGCUGGGUUUAGAACGUCGUGAGACAGUUCGGUCCCUAUCUGCCGUGGGCGCUGGAGAACUGAGGGGGGCUGCUCCUAGUACGAGAGGACCGGAGUGGACGCAUCACUGGUGUUCGGGUUGUCAUGCCAAUGGCACUGCCCGGUAGCUAAAUGCGGAAGAGAUAAGUGCUGAAAGCAUCUAAGCACGAAACUUGCCCCGA
rnacentral:rRNA from 1 species